UACGGAGGGUGCGAGCGUUGUCCGGAAUCACUGGGCGUAAAGGGCGCGUAGGUGGCCGAGCAAGGUCGCGGUGAAAGCCCGGGGCUCAACCCCGGGUCGGCCGUGGCAACUACUCGGCUCGAGCACUGUAGGGGCGGGUGGAAUUCCGGGUGUAGCGGUGGAAUGCGUAGAGAUCCGGAGGAACACCGGUGGCGAAGGCGGGUCUCUGGGCCGAUACUGACGCUGAGGAGCGAAAGCGUGGGGAGCGAACAGG
rnacentral:rRNA from 1 species